CUAAAAUAUUACAGCAUCCAUUAUAAAAAUACAGAAUGUUUCUGAUUGAAACUGCAUGUGUUCCAAUGAAAAAUAUUACAUCUUGAAAGCACUUCUGACAAGUGUUCAGUUUGGAGGUUAAUGGCAACAUCUGAGCUGUGGGUGUCAGAAUAAGGGGGAAAUUGGCACUGCAUAUAGAAUAUAGAGGGCAAGCAACCAAGAAGCAGUCAUAGUCAGAUGACACUAUAUUGGUAAGGAAGGUAAAUAGUGUGAAGAUGCAAAACGACUUAGAGCAGUAUAAAGAAAAGAGAUGAAAAAUGAAAUGUUUAGCACAUCAAAAUUCGAUCACCACCAUUAUUGUCAGGUAGAGCUUGAUGUUUUACACCAUACAAGAUUUUAAUGUUCACUGGUGUGGCUGUGGACUUUCUUCCCUCUCUAGAGUCUGUUGAAAGCCUUCAGUUUGUUUGUUAGUAUGCUGUUGAUCUGUUCACAACUGAGCCUCAAUAAGGUUCAAAGGCACCUGGUGCCAAAAGGAGGUCCCAUGCAACGCGUCUAUACGGCAUUUAUUGAAACUGCGUUCUGGCGUCCUAAGAGGAUCACAUGCUUAAGGCCGGGAGAUGGGGAAGAGAAUUGAUUCAGAAGCCAUUUCCCAUUCUCAUUACAAUGAUUCUCAGGAGGAAUGACUAAUUUUGUGCCUUUGUUUUCUUGACACAACAGUCUUUUUUGUAGAAUUUCAGUGUAGAUUUUUCCCAUUACCUAUCUUUAAAAAGAAAAAAAGGAAAGGAACGGAAAGGAAACCUGCCUUUUAAUCUCCCAGUUUAUGUUGUAUUCAUAUAAUUUGUUCUGUUAAGAUUUAUUUAUUUCUGGUUGUUUUUUUUGUUUUUUUUUCAUGGCUGUGUGUUUUAAUUUUUUAUUCAAGAAUUCACUGUGGGUGCUGUUCAUUCCACAGAUCAAUGGAAAUGGGGUUGGGUUUUUUUUUAAUAAGAGAAUUUUGCCUGUUAGCUAGUUAGAGGUUUAUUGUUGUCCUCCAGAUUCCAUUUCAGUCCUCAUUGUGUCCAAGUUUAUAUUUAGUGUGCCACCAAGGAAUUGCUGCCAAAAUUUCAGCGAAAACAAAAAUAAAAUAAAAUAAAAAUCUGGGAGUUUCUCA
rnacentral:lncRNA from 1 species